rnacentral:rRNA from 1 species
AUUGAACGCUGGCGGCAGGCCUAACACAUGCAAGUCGAGCGGAUGAAGGGAGCUUGCUCCUGGAUUCAGCGGCGGACGGGUGAGUAAUGCCUAGGAAUCUGCCUGGUAGUGGGGGAUAACGUCCGGAAACGGGCGCUAAUACCGCAUACGUCCUGAGGGAGAAAGUGGGGGAUCUUCGGACCUCACGCUCUCAGAUGAGCCUAGGUCGGAUUAGCUAGUUGGUGGGGUAAAGGCCUACCAAGGCGACGAUCCGUAACUGGUCUGAGAGGAUGAUCGGUCACACUGGAGCUGAGGCACGGUCCAGACUCCUACGGGAGGCAGCAGUGGGGAAUAUUGGACAAUGGGCGAAAGCCUGAUCCAGCCAUGCCGCGUGUGUGAAGAAGGUCUCCGGAUUGUAAAGCACUUUAAGUUGGGAGGAAGGGCAGUAAGUUAAUACCUUGCUGUUUUGACGUUACCAACAGAAUAAGCACCGGCUAACUUCGUG